rnacentral:rRNA from 1 species
UGGGGAAUAUUGCACAAUGGAGGGAACUCUGAUGCAGCGACGCCGCGUGAACGAAGAAGGCUUUCGAGUCGUAAAGUUCUUUUAUAUGGGAAGAUAAUGACGGUACCAUAAGAAAAAGCCCCGGCUAACUACGUGCCAGCAGCCGCGGUAAUACGUAGGGGGCUAGCGUUGUCCGGAAUCACUGGGCGUAAAGGGUUCGCAGGCGGAAAUGCAAGUCAGGUGUAAACGGCAGUAGCUUAACUACUGUAAGCAUUUGAAACUGCAUAUCUUGAGAAGAGUAGAGGUAAGUGGAAUUUUUAGUGUAGCGGUGAAAUGCGUAGAUAUUAAAAAGAAUACCGGUGGCGAAGGCGACUUACUGGGCUCAUUCUGACGCUGAGGAACGAAAGCGUGGGUAGCAAACAGG